GAGUUUGAUCAUGGCUCAGAUUGAACGCUGGCGGCAUGCCUUACACAUGCAAGUCGAACGGCAGCACGGGAGCUUGCUCCUGGUGGCGAGUGGCGAACGGGUGAGUAAUGCAUCGGAACGUAUCCUGGAGUGGGGGAUAACGUAGCGAAAGUUACGCUAAUACCGCAUAUUCUGUGAGCAGGAAAGCGGGGGACCUUCGGGCCUCGCGCUCUUGGAGCGGCCGAUGUCGGAUUAGCUAGUUGGUGAGGUAAAGGCUCACCAAGGCGACGAUCCGUAGCAGGUCUGAGAGGAUGAUCUGCCACACUGGAACUGUGACACGGUCCAGACUCCUACGGGAGGCAGCAGUGGGAAUUUUGGACAAUGGGGGCAACCCUGAUCCAGCCAUGCCGCGUGAGUG
rnacentral:rRNA from 1 species